UGCAGUCGACGGAAGGNCCUUCGGGGUACUCGAGUGGCGAACGGGUGAGUAACACGUGGGUGAUCUGCCCUGCACUUUGGGAUAAGCCUGGGAAACUGGGUCUAAUACCGAAUAGGACCACGCGCUUCAUGGUGUGUGGUGGAAAGCUUUUGCGGUGUGGGAUGGGCCCGCGGCCUAUCAGCUUGUUGGUGGGGUAAUGGCCUACCAAGGCGACGACGGGUAGCCGGCCUGAGAGGGUGACCGGCCACACUGGGACUGAGAUACGGCCCAGACUCCUACGGGAGGCAGCAGUGGGGAAUAUUGCACAAUGGGCGCAAGCCUGAUGCAGCGACGCCGCGUGAGGGAUGACGGCCUUCGGGUUGUAAACCUCUUUCAAUAGGGACGAAGCGNNNGUGACGGUACCUAUAGAAGAAGCACCGGCCAACUACGUGCCAGCAGCCGCGGUAAUACGUAGGGUGCGAGCGUUGUCCGGAAUUACUGGGCGUAAAGAGCUCGUAGGUGGUUUGUCGCGUUGUUCGUGAAAACUCACAGCUUAACUGUGGGCGUGCGGGCGAUACGGGCAGACUAGAGUACUGCAGGGGAGACUGGAAUUCCUGGUGUAGCGGUGGAAUGCGCAGAUAUCAGGAGGAACACCGGUGGCGAAGGCGGGUCUCUGGGCAGUAACUGACGCUGAGGAGCGAAAGCGUGGGGAGCGAACAGGAUUAGAUACCCUGGUAGUCCACGCCGUAAACGGUGGGUACUAGGUGUGGGUUCCUUCCUUGGGAUCCGUGCCGUANCUAACGCAUUAAGUACCCCGCCUGGGGAGUACGGCCGCAAGGCUAAAACUCAAAGGAAUUGACGGGGGCCCGCACAAGCGGCGGANCAUGUGGAUUAAUUCGAUGCAACGCGAANAACCUUACCUGGGUUUGANAUGCACAGGACGCCGGCAGANAUGUCGGUUCCCUUGUGGCCUGUGUGCAGGUGGNGCAUGGCUGUCGUCAGCUCG
rnacentral:rRNA from 1 species